rnacentral:rRNA from 1 species
UACGUAGGGUGCGAGCGUUGUCCGGAAUUAUUGGGCGUAAAGAGCUCGUAGGCGGUGUGUCGCGUCGGCCGUGAAAACCUGGGGCUCAACUCUGGGCGUGCGGUCGAUACGGGCAUCACUUGAGUUCGGCAGGGGAGACUGGAAUUCCUGGUGUAGCGGUGAAAUGCGCAGAUAUCAGGAGGAACACCGGUGGCGAAGGCGGGUCUCUGGGACGGUACUGACGCUGAGACGCGAAAGCGUGGGGAGCGAACAGG